GGAACCAUGGUUCGCGGAGUUGGCGACUCGCCGGACCUGGGUUCCGCCGGAAGGGGGAGCCCGGAGCCUGGGCGUUCGACGGGAGGUGAAGAGCGAGGGCUUGUGGACGGUCACCGGAGACUUGGCUAAGCCCAGGGGGCCGAGGGAGAGGACCCGGGGCUCUCGUUGCGGCAGGAUUGCGCUAAAGAGGCUGGCUGACAGACCUCUAAGGACUGAGCAUACUUUUUGAGUGACAAGAUAGGGAUGCUCAAUGAGACCAUGGCAGGCUGCAGCUGGGACUUUAUCUUUAAUGCAGAUGUCUUCCAAGAAGACCUUCCCUAGUCCACAGUCUGAACUGCUUGACUUUCCUCCUGGCUUUCUGAACAUUCGUUUAUUCACUCAAAGAAAAUAUGUAUUGAGCCCUUAAUUUUGUGUUAGACACUGAACUAGAUACUGAAAAUGUAAUAGUGAACAAGCAAAUGUGGUAAUUACCAGUUGACCUGACAGAGCUUAUAUUCCCAUAAGGAAGGGAGAAGAGUAAAAAAAAAAUAAUGCAUUUCAGUUUGAUUGGCUCCAGGCCUGAGAAGAGCUAAGGAUUGGCCAGGUGGAAGGGGGAAGGGUACAUGUUCCAAGUAGAGGUAACAACUGGGGAGCCCAGCCACGAGAGGGGAGCACAGUCCAGGCACUGAGAUUCCAGACACAGAGCUGGGGAGCUAGCCAGGGACCAGACCCCAAAGAAUGUUACUAGUUGUGUUAAGGGGUUUGGAAUUCUUAAAAGUAAUAGUAAGUUUGAGCAGUUUCAACAUGAUUAGGUUUAUAUUUUAGAUGAUGAUUCUGGCUACUGUGAGAAAAUGGAAUUCAAGAGUGACAAGGAAACCAGGUCAAGAGGGAAAGAAACCAGUUAGGCCAUCAUCAUACUAAACCAGGGAAAAGAGGAUGGCAGCUUGUAUCAGGAUAUUGCCCAGGUGAAUGGGAAUGGAUCCCCGAGGAAUUCAGGAAGUAGAAGAGGCAGACCUUGAUGCCUGAAUGGGGAGGGCAGUAGGGAGGAAAUCAGGGAUAGAGUUCCUCAGACAAGUUCUGAUGAAGACAGGGGCUGCCCUAUUCGCUGUCAUGUAUCCACAGCCUAGCACAAGCCCUUAGACAUUGUGGAUGCUUGAUAAAUAGUUGAAUGAAUGAGUUUCCUGGCUUGGGCACCUAGAUAAAUGGGGUGCCAUUCUCUGAUUCAGAUAACUAGAGGCAGACUCAUUCUGGGAGGUGAGUGGUGAUUGCAUUUUAGACAUGUCAGGCUCCAGGUGCCUGUGGGAGACAAACAUGAAUAUGUCCAGAUACAUGCCAGUUGGAAGAGAUCUGAGGUGCAUUCUUUGUAUGCUUAAAAAAAUUAAAGUUAACAUUGAAUGGAAAUGAUCUGUUCUGUGUCUGUCUCCAUUAAUCCAUGGGAGUGUUUCUCAGUGACUCAGUUCCCGAGCAUCUGCCGCUGUGCCUGGCCCAGACUGAGCCCCCAGGCCGUGUGUGUUGCUGGACUGAACCGCUCUGCUUCAGACCUGGAGCAUCUCACAGGAGAAGUUAGUGUAAGUGGUUGCCUCUGAGGAGGGAAACAGGGUCAGAGUGAAAAGGAGAUUUCUUUUUUUUGCAUACACUUUACUUCUUUAUGCUUUUGUCCUCCAUGUGCUUUUGUUUCCCAUGAAAAAUAAAAA